ensembl:lincRNA Gm21781 predicted gene, 21781
GAUUGUUGGGCCCUUUGGCUUUUCUUCCCUAGUGCCAGAAUGAAAGAUGCAUGUUAUCUGUAAAAUUGAUGGAACUGUCUUGCAUUUACUUCAUGACCCAAAUGAAAUAGGGAUCCCAGUCUGAGGAAACAUUCAUUUUUGCUGCUGUAAACCAGGCCAACAUUAAGAUAAUAGUAAGGCAUAUGUUUCUCAUGUAGUUUUUGUGGUCAGGUAUCGGAGUAGUGAGCUGAGAGAGAGGCUCUGUGACAGGGUCUUCCAGUCAGGUUAUUGUGGCUGCUGAAUCUGUUUCCAAGGUGCUUCCCGGUGUCUAGCUACUUGGCUGGCAGGCUCCAGCUCUUCUUGGAUUGCUAAAUGUCCUGGUGUGGUUGGUGUUCCCCAAGAACUAGACUUUUAAGCCCCAGUGAAGAAGCAGCCAUACACCGGUAGAGGCUGUCAGUGCCGACUAGUGGCAGUGCAGAGCACAAGCCUGGCCUGACAGUAGGCGGGAAAUAAGUCUCUAAGUGGAGUAGUUAAUAGCUGGCUCCGUUCUAGGUUGUUCCAGUUCCUAGAUGGAUUAGGAUGGGAUCAGAUAACUAGCUGAAGUCAAUCGGUGAGUAAUUAAUUAGUUGAUUAAGUCAGUUUUUUUUUUUCCUUUAAGGGCUCAACCUUAACUGUAAAAGGAGAGUCAAAGAAGAUAAUUACUUCCCCUGAGGUCUGAUUCAGUCUUUGAAAAGUAAACUGUUCUGACCUUUAUCAUGAAUAAUCUGAUUGUGAUGAGAAAGUUGGCUGGCAAUUGUUUUUUUAAUCGUUAUUAAACAAGGUACAGUAAGAUCACUUAUCUAGUCUCCAAGUCUGCAGGCUUCUGAUGUUCAGCUUUGAGUGAGUGUGUGUAUAUGUGUGUCUGUAGAAUAUAAACACAUAUAUAUAUGUAUGUACACAUAUAAUUUAAAAUAUAUUUAAAGGACUUCUGCAUACUAUGUGCUUGGGCACCUGUCACCUCUGUAGUCCAGAAGAGGGCAUUGGAUUCUUUGGAAUUUGCAUCACUGAAUCAUCUCUGGUCUGUGGAUUUUUUUUAAAAAAGAUUUAUUUAUUUAUUAUAUGUAAGUACACUGUAGCUGUCUUCAGACACCAGAAGAGGGAGUCAGAUCUCAUUACAGAUGGUUGUGAGNNNNNNNNNNNNNNNNNNNNNNNNNNNNNNNNNNNNNUGCUGGGAUUUGAACUCCGGACCUUUGGAAGAGCAGUUGGGUGCUCUUAACCACUGAGCCAUCUCCCCAGCCCCUGGUCUGUGGAUUUUAAAGAAGGAUUUAUUUUUAAUUAUGUGUAUGUAUAUAUAUGUCCGUUACUUUCCUGUUGCUGUGAUAAGAUACCAUGACCAGAACUAAAGGAAGAAAAUUUAUUUUGGCUUAGGGUUCCAGAGGUAGAGUUUCCGGCAGCAGGGGAGGCACAUCAGGGAAUCAGGGCGCUGAAUGGCAGAACAGGAAGCUGACAGAUCACAUCUCAGUCACACAGAGAAAGCAAGCUGGAGGUGAGGGGGAGACUCAAAGCUUGCCCCCAACACAUGUUUCAUCCAGUAAGACUCUAACCCAGAAGGAUUCAGAACUUUCUCAAACAGCACCACCAGUGUGACCACUGUUGAACUACAUGUCCUGUGGGGACACCACCACAGUAUGUGUUUGGAUGUGAACAUGUGCAAGUGCAGGUGCCAUCAGAGUCCAGAGGAAUGAGGGAUGAAGAAAGCUAUGGCAUUUACACUGUGAGAUGAUUGGUACUGGGGAUUGAACAUAGGCCUUGUGUGUAUUAGGCUAGUGUAUGGUACUGAGAUAAAUCCUAGUUCUUUUACUUUUUAUUUUGAGAUAAGGUCUUGCUAAGUUUCUCCCACAGGUAGCUAACAUUACAUAAUUUAGGUUACCACCCAGCUUUAACUGGUGUGAAAUUUUCAUAGAAAUGUUUUAUUUGUUCAUUCAUUCAUUCAUUGACAAAUUCUCAUUACAUAUCUGUGACAGUCUCCGCCUCCCACGUGCCUGGGAUUAAAGCAGUAGACCACCAUGUCCAUUGUAAACUUUUAUCUAUAGAAUUAUUUCUAGGACUGGUUUUUGCUUACUGAUAUAAACAAAAGAUAGAGACUCUGCUGUUAGUAAUGUAGGUGAAUCUUAGUCUCUCUUCCCAGUUCUCUUUGACCUUUCUUUUUUCUUUUUCUUUUUCUUUUUUUUUUUUUUUUAAGAUUUAUUUAUUGGUAAGUACACUGUAGCUGUCCUCAGACACACCAGAAGAGGGAGUCAGAUCUCGUUACGGAUGGUUGUGAGCCACCAUGUGGUUGCUGGGAUUUGAACUUGGGAGCUUUGGAAGAGCAGUCGGGUGCUCUUAUCCACUGAGCCAUCUCUCCACUCUCUUUGACCUUCUAAGUAAUACAUGGGACACCAUAGAUUAUUUUGUACUUGUUUGUUUUUGGUUUUUAGAGAUCAGGUUUCUCUGUGUAACAACCCUGACUGUUCCGGAGUUUGCUGUGUAGACCAGGCUGGACUUGAACUCAGAAAAAUCCGCUUGCCUCUGCCUCCUAAGUGCUGGGAUUAAAGAUGUGUGCUGGUAUCACCGGCUUAUUUUGUUUAUUACAUCACAGGCUCUUUGCCACUGGGAACCUUGUUCUUCUUUUCUUCUUUUGUUUCCUCUUUGGUUUUUGCAUGGCGCCACCAUGCCCAGUGUCUUUUUAAAAAACAUUGUGAGAUGGUUUUGCCUGGGACUUCAUAUAUGGGCCUGUCCUUGCCUGGGAGUGUUGGUACCGUCUGCCACACUUUGUAAACUUUGUGAUGCCUGUUCCCUCUUAACAAACACCCCCCCCCCCCCCCCACUACGGUUCAGGUGGCCUGAACAGGCUUUGAAACUCUGUUGUCAAAGAUGACCUUGAACUUUGAAGCUUCGGGAUCCUGCUUCCACCUCCCAAGUGCUUGGAUUACAGGUGUACAUUACCACCACCCCACCACCACCCCAGUUUAUAGGGUGCUGGAGAUCUAAUCCAGGGUGUCCUCCCCUGCUAGACAAUCACUCCACCUAUCAAUGAAAAUAAGACUACCCCUAAAUGUAGGUUACUUUGUUUUGUAUUUUGUAACCCUUACCCUCUGUAAGCUUGAGUGAGCUUUUGUGAACUGCUGGUACUUGAAAGGCUUAACAGCUUACAGUGAAUUUGUAGUUGAAGAGUUAAGGCUGGGGCACCUAAGAUGAUUUUUCUCACUAGAGCUGAAUGGAAAAGUGAAUCUAGGUAUAGGUUAUAGGUUGUGUGUGUGUGUGCACAUGUGUGCGCUUGUUUGCAUGUUAAUGUGUGCACACAUUUGUGUAUGCAUGUGUUUAGCCUUGCUCUUUUGUUGUUGUUGUUGUUGUUUUUUUGAGACAGGGUUUUUCUGUAUAUCCCUGGCUGUCCUGGAACUCACUUUGUAGACCAGGCUGGCCUCGAACUCAGAAAUCUGCCUGCCUUAGCCUCCCGAGUGCUGGGAUUAAAGUCAUGCGCCACCACGUCCGGCUUAGCCUUGCUCUUAAAGAUGCACUGGGGAGUGACAGUGAGAAUGUAGUGCAUAGUUUCUAGUCUACAGAUGUGCUGUGGUACACUAAAGAUGGUAUGGAAACAGACUCUUGAAGAGAAGGUGUGCAAAUGGAGUUUUAGUUGGGUGACAUCUACAUUGAGUUGUUACUUUUAUUGGUGGUAAGUUGCCAUCAUAAGCUACUUGGUCCUCUGGAAUGUCUAUUUCUGUGAUUUCUCUAGAUCUGUGUGGUCCACUUCAGUAGCUAAGUCACACAGGUACAAAUGGCAGGACGGAUACCACAGAGCAUUUCUACUACAGCAGAAUCCCCCUUGAAUGGAGCUGCUGUGAAGUCAUGUUUGACUCACCUAUGUUUUGGUGUUCUCUGUGUUGAGUUAGGAAAAGGACAAAAGGGCCGUUCUGGGAGUGGUAGUGGUUGGUAUUCAUGAACAGUGGAGCCAGUAUUUUAUAUUGUAGUUAAGACUUUGUGGGCUGGGGAGAUGACUCAGUGUUUGCUAGCUUGAGGACUUGUAGCUCUGCAACACCCACCUAAAAGUUGUAUGCUGCACUGCUAGUGUUUGGCUGGCCAGCCGCUGGAGCCUAAAUAAAGUGACCAUUUCAGGAAACAAGGUGAAGUGCUGGUCAGAUGGCUCAUCAUAUAAAAGAGCUUGCUUUUAGCAAGCCUGGUAAACUGAGUUCAAUUCCUGGAGUCUUGUGAGAUGGUUUGUAUAUGCUUGGCUCAGGGAGUGGCCCUAUUAGGAGGUGUGGUGGAGUAGGUGUGUCACUGGCCAUGGGCUUUAAGACCCUCACCCUAGCUGCCUGGAAGCCAGUAUUAUGCUAGCAGCCUUCACUCACAUGAAGAUAAAGAACUCUCAGCUGCACCUUGCCUACCUGGAUGCUGCCAGGCUCCUGUUUUGAUGAUAAUGGACUGAACCUCUGAACCUGUAAGCAUGCCCCAAUUAAAUAUUGUCCUUCUAAGAAUUGCCUUGGUCAUGGUGUCUGUUCGCCACAGUAAAGCCCAUGGAAAGGUGGAAGGAAAUAACUGACCCUACAAAGUUGUUCUCUAACUCCUGAAUGUUUGCUGUGAUGCGCAUGCACCAGGCACAGGAAACAAGAAGGAAAAGGCUUUGCAUUUGCAUCUGGUCUGGAAUUGUGCUAUAUUUUAUACAUUGUUUAAUCUCUUAAACUUCAUUUUUUUUUAUUUCCAACAGGGAUAAAUUUAUCAAGAUUGUGUGGAGUAAGUCAGUACAAUAUAGGGGGUGAUUAUCUAGCACAGUACCUCAAUAAAUGAUAGUGUUCAUUAAUAAACUUCUGAAAUAAGUGAUUUCUAUAUAAACAACUUCAUAUUAUAUAUACAAUAAAGUUGAUUUUUCUUUCCA